CCCCCUUCUCCGCGCCUUACUCGAUGAAGAACACCCGGCCGUCCCUGCAGACGCCAUAGGACCAGUGCUCAGGCUGAGGCAUUAGUCAGUCCAGGCCUUUGAUGUAGAGGACAAGAGGAUGAUGGAGAUUAAUUGCUAUCUUGCCAGCAACCUGUGGCUAUACUGAAAAGAUGCUGAAAGUGAAAAACUCCUAUUCAUCUUGUUCAUGCCGGAUUGUUCCCUAUUAUACAGAUUACAUUUUUUUUUAUCCCAUUAUUCCUAAUUAUGCCUUCAUGUACCACAGCAUAUAAUUCCUCUCCCUCGAUGAUAACACCUUCCAAGUAUCGGUAGAAUCUUAUGCACCGCUACUCCUAGAUCAUCAAUAAACCAAGCUUUUCCUAACCUUUCCUCUUAAGUCAGCAUUACAAACUCCUGAACAUUUUUGUUACUCUUCUUUGAAUUACCACCACUGUCAAUAUCUCUCUAGUGAUGUGGUGUUCAGAAAUGGGUAUAUUCUUGCAGAUGCUUUGCACUGUGAUAAGCUCUGUCCUCUGCAUUUGUUAUUAUUGCCUUUAUAAUUAUUUACUUGUUUAGUGUCAACAAUGUGCAUAUAGCUGUAAAAAGCAGAUAAGACAAGUCUCCUGCCCUGAACAGCUUAAUUUACUGUAGUUCCCAGGGCAAGUCCUUUUACAUCCAUUAAUUGCAUGGACUAGUUAAAUUGGCCUAUAGCUCCCUGCCAUGGCAUUGCCUCUAGACCUGCAUGACUGGUGGACUUAUGUACUCAUAAUGACCACUAACUGAGUUUAACAAUAACCCUUCAUUGUGUAAACCACUACUUGGAAUGUCCUUGUGACUUCAGUAACGUAAUGGAAAAUAUUUUAAAUAAUUCAAAAGAAACCUAUUCUACACAGCAUUGUUCAACAUUAAAACCUGCUUCUGAUGCUUAAUGUGUAAGCAACUAUAAACUUCUGAAAAAGAUGUUGCAUACUUCUCUCCCUACCCGAGAUAAUGACUUCCCAUUAUUGAUUUGAGCUCUUUAAUCUGCACAUUAAAGUCCCAUUCUUAUCCCACGGAGAUUAAAUUGUUUUACUGGUAUUGACAUGUUGAAUUACUACUUCUCUUUCACAUCACGUGGUGAUGAAAGACUUCUACAUGAUUCAAUUAAUGUACCUUAACUUCAGUUACAUGCACUUACACACUUUAAUCUCAGCUGCUUUUGUAUCAAUAUUUUUAAUUAUUGUCCUUUAACCAACAAUAGGCUUUCUCAGUAAAACCAUACAAAUAUACAGCUUAGUUUUCAUAUAUGUUAAACAAUAAAAUAAGGGCCUGAUUGGAAGACUAUUGGUGUCCGUAGAGAUUCCCCUUGACUUAAAUGAGCUGUUUAUCAAGAGUCUAGUCUACAGUUGCAUAAUCUGUAUUUUAACAUAAAGGUUCAUAUACCUUAUAAACAACUAUAGAUGACUUUUUUGCAUUAUUAGAAAGUGCUGCAUUGGCACUCUUAUUACAGACCUUAUGUAUAAUACUUAAAAGCAGAAUAUUGUAUUACAGCACAGUAACAAUAGUUAAUGUUAAGUCAUUUACUGAUUAAAAGUACUCGAAAAUCCACGUGCUGACUCAGAUUGUCUUGAAAUUUUGUGCGCCUCCUGGGGGUGCAGAGUAGGAUUAGUGGUCUAAAUUUGGGUUCAUUUGAACAAAAGCCUCCCGAGAUACAGCCCCCCUAACAAAUGAUAUGUGUACAAAAUCACCUAUACCCAAUUCUAGAUGGUGCAACCUGCUCAUCUUCCCCCAAGGCCAUGCAAAAAAAUAAGUCCAGUUCAGGAAGGGAAAAUUCUCAAGUAUGUAGUUAUUACUACAAGUCAGAAAUCCGACACUGACUCCUCAUGUGAAAAAACUGUGCUCCUGUCAGGCUAAGGACUGGUAGAAAUAUUAAAAAGUCAUUGGGGAAAUUAAGUAGAUACCUUCUUCCAAGAUCCCUUUUUGAAGCUAUUGCUCCAAAAAAAGUGGACUAGAGAUUUAAUUCCUGGAAAUAAAUGGUGAUUUUUUUUCUUAACACUUUCUGGCUUAGUAUCACAGAUGUUAAUAUGUAGCACUUGUAUAGCCCUUUGAUAUCUUUGGAUUCAAAGUAAUUUUAAAAGGUGAAUAAGAAUUACCCCAUUUUACAGAUAGCAAAAGUGAAAUACAGCAAGGAUGGCUUGCCCAAUGUCACAGUCAAUGACAUAGCUGGGAAUAAAACCCAUGUCUGAGUCGUAGUACAGUGCUCUGUCAAUUGGACCACAGGCGUCCAUGGGAAUAGACAGAAGUAAGUGUGGCAAGAAGUUACCAACAGGUGUAAAAAAAUUAGAUGAGAAAACUACAAGAAAGAAGGAAAGAGACAAGUGUUCUGACAUUACACACUGCUGAAGUGUGUGGUCACCCAUUUAUAACUUUGAUGUUGCUGUUGCAUAAAAUAAUAUAUCAAAAAACAUUUGAAGGAAUCACCACAGUGUUACACAGUAUCAGCAAAUAAUAUUCAAUCAAUCAACAGUAAUGCCAAAUAAGGGUUGAACAUGAGCAUAUUCUCUCAAAGGCCAUUUUGUACCUUUAACAUACAUUCAUUUAAUUUUACUGUGUAUUUAAAACAGGCCUACUGUGAGUGAAUCACAGAAUAUAAGCUCCAAAGGACAUGGAAAAUAAAGGCAAAUGGAAAGCAAAUUGUGUGUGUGCGCAUGUGUGUAUAUAUAUAUAGAGAGAGAGAGCGAGAGAGAGAGUCUACCCUGUUCCCAUUGAAAUAGGUUGGAAGUUUUGCCACUGGCUUCAGUGGGAGCAAGAUCACACCCUAUAAUGCUACAACUAUCUUAAUAUAGCUCAUAAAGUAAACCAGGUCAGUUUAUAGGUAGGGGGAUCCAAAAGUCGAAGAAAGAAUUAUUCAUUUUUCUGGAUUCUGGAAAGAAUAUGAAUAAGUUUCACUGCUUCCUACAAUUCCUGGAAGGCACUGAGCACAGCAAAUACUGUUUAAGGAUAGGUUUCAGAGUAGCAGCCGUGUUAGUCUGUAUCCGAUGAAGUGAGCUGUAACUAACGAAAGCUUAUGCUCAAAUAAAUUUGUUAGUCUCUAAGGUGCCAAAAGUACUCCUUUUCUUUUUGUUUAAGGAUAUUAUUCAUGCUCACCAAAUCAACACCCAGUGUGAUCUGAUUGACAGUGCAUACUCGGGUCAACAGAGAGAUUUUAACAACUGAGUGAGGCAGAUGGGAAAAUGCCACAGGAAAAGCAAUGCUUGUGGUGCAAAUCAGAUUCAAACUCCUCCUUCCAGAACAGUUAAGUCUCCUUAGAGUUAAGAAAAAUGCUAAAUACUCUUUUUGGUUUAAAAAAAAGAUUAUUCACAACAAAAAGGAUUAGAAAGUGUUACUGUUGAAAAUGUCUUCUAAUGAAGUUCACCUAAUGUUAUCUAUAUAAUUAUACCUUCUUUACAAAACUCCUCCACCUUUAAAAAACCUGGAUAUUAAAAUUUGGAAAUUAACAUUUAAGGUAUGCAGGUAGUUCCCCACUGCCAUAUAGUUCUUCAUCAUUCACUAUCACUUGUACUGCCCUCAACAACUUUAACUUUGUUCUCUAAAAUCUGCAAAACUAUAUUCAUAAAUCAAAAUGAAUUUCUUGUUGAUUUCCGAGUAAAGUAAUUCAGUUCUAAUUUUCUAACAUGUUCAUUACAACAUUAUGGACUACAAAAAAAAAAAACACUAGGUGUAUUUGUUGCUAUACAAUAUAAUACAUACAGUGAAAUAGUCUAUUUAGAUACAAUUGUGGCACCACAAACAUAUUUCACAGCUAAAAAUUGAUUAAACAUUCCAAUUCUGUUAAUAAAAUUAUUUUUCUACUUCACUACACGUCACACUUAGAACUUAUGCAACUAUUACAUACCAAAGUAUCCUAGGACUACUUUUCUUUCAAAAUCUGUAUUUACACAUUUAGUAAACUUUAUGUAAAGGCAACAGUAUACAUCCAUACCCUAUUUCCAUUACAGAAUAAAACAAGGUAGCACAAUUAAGACUGGGUCUGUAAUAAAGUGUAUGCGGGGAGAGAGCUGAACAAUUGUAUAGCACUAGAAAGCCUUUAACUGUUAAUUUUUUCAGACUUUUUAAUGUUUGGAUUUUUGUAAAGAGAGUGGUGGUGAGGUUUGUGUGGGGUUUUUUUGGUCAGGGAAAUUUUUAGCUGAACUGCAAUGAAACACACCUUCACCCUUAACACUUCCAAUAAAAUGAUGUUUGUGAAUAUGUGUGUGUUUGUUUGAAAUGAAGACAAACCUUUAAAUCAACUAGAUGAAUAUAGACUAGAGGAGCAGAGCCCUGCUCUAAUAGAACUUACGAGGCUCCCCAAAGCAAGGCUGCCCUCCUGCAGACUUUGCAAGUCCACUAGUGGUGUGCAUUUGUAGGUGUGCAUUUGAGGGAAAUUAUCUUUGUGAGAGAGAUGGGGAGAAGAAAAGUUUAAAUCUAUAUAAAAGCCUCUCAUCACCCUAAGAGGCUUAAAGUUUUAAAUCUAGUAUAUGUUGAGCAUUUUAAGUUUUAUGCAUAGAGAAGACUCUGCCCUUUCCUGCAUCCCCUUCUGUGCCUCCUUUAAUUCAAUGCACCUCACUUCCACGUCCCCCAGUACUAUACCUGUGACGCUCUGUACCUCAGGGAAACACCCUACACCCCCAUGUUCAUCUUUAUAAAACUAUUGUGUGGAAUCCAAUGCAAAGUUUCUCAUGUUGGGUGUCUUCAGAAGGCUCAUAAUGCACUGAGCAUGGUUGUUUAUAGUGAUGUUGUAGUAAUUUUUACAGUAAUGUUAUAGAAAGGUUAUAGGUUGUAAUUUCAUGUAUACAGUUAUGAGGCUGAAAAUGUAUCCUCAUGGCUUAAAGCAAGCCCAUGCAAAAACUCUCCAAGAACAGAGAGGCAGUGCACACCUCGUCAGGGCAUGGAUGGGACAAACCCAGCCCAGCCUCACAGGAACAAUGGACAUUGUCUUAGGCAGCAACACAAGAAUCUGUUAGCCCCUCGAGGGAGUCACCCCCUUUCUUUGGGUAGUUUGGGACUAUGAUGAGGUAAUGCUCACCUGACUCUGAAGGGGCAAAGCCAAGAGGAAAGAAAGGAUAUGAUAAAAGGGAGAGACAUUUUGCCAUGCUCUCUCUCUCCCACAUACAUCUACAGCCACCACCAUCACCAAGCGACUGAAGCGCUGAUCAAAGGAGAGAGCCUGACUGAAAAGUAACCAGCGAGCCUGUAGUGAGAAGCAUCUACAUUUGUAAGGACAUUGAUAGUGUUAAGAUCAUCUUAGAAUGUGUUUUGCUUUUAUUUCAUUUGAUCAAAUCUGACUUGUUAUGCUUUGACUUAUAAUCACUGAAGAUCUAUCUUUAUAGUUAAUAAAUUUGUUUGUUUAUUCUA